rnacentral:tRNA from 1 species
GCCGGGGUGGUGAAACUGGUAGACACGCGAGACUCAAAAUCUCGUGGGCUUUUGCCCGUGAGGGUUCGAGUCCCUCCCCCGGUACCA